ACCGCCCAACAUUCUGUGCCAUACAACAUCGUUGGCCUUAUUGCCGUCCUAUAAAAUUUUCCCUUGAGCUUCAGUGGCCUACGACGAUCACACAACACGCCGGAUACACUCUUACACUUCAUCCAUCCAGCUUGUAUUCUAUGGUUGAGAUCUCCAUCUAAUUCUUCGUUCUCUUGCAAGAUAGAUCCUAGGUAGCGAAAACGGUAACUUUUUGUGAUCUUCGCUAGAUUGCUCCGGUCAUUAGUGUGGAUAAGUAUAUAAAUGGAUAGAGAUAGGAAAGCAAACACAAGAUGUACGUGAUUCACCCAGAUUGGCUACGUCCACGGAAUAGAGGAGUUCUCAUUAAUUGUGAAGGGUUUACACAAGUACAUAGGUUCAAG
rnacentral:lncRNA from 1 species